UAGAGUUUGAUCAUGGCUCAGAUUGAACGCUGGCGGCAGGCCUAACACAUGCAAGUCGAACGGUAACAGGAAUCAGCUUGCUGAUUCGCUGACGAGUGGCGGACGGGUGAGUAAUGUCUGGGAAACUGCCUGAUGGAGAGGGAUAACUACUGGAAACGGUAGCUAAUACCGCAUAACGUCGCAAGACCAAAGAGGGGGACCUUCGGGUCUCUUGCCAUCGGAUGUGCCCAGAUGGGAUUAGCUAGUAGGUGGGGUAACGGCUCACCUAGGCGACGAUCCCUAGCUGGUCUGAGAGGAUGACCAGCCACACUGGAACUGAGACACGGUCCAGACUCCUACGGGAGGCAGCAGUGGGGAAUAUUGCACAAUGGGCGCAAGCCUGAUGCAGCCAUGCCGCGUGUAUGAAGAAGGCCUUCGGGUUGUAAAGUACUUUCAGCGGGGAGGAAGGGAGUAAAGUUAAUACCUUUGCUCAUUGACGUUACCCGCAGAAGAAGCACCGGCUAACUCCGUGCCAGCAGCCGCGGUAAUACA
rnacentral:rRNA from 1 species